AAAAAAAAAAAAGAAGUACUGGAUGCGUCCAAAGAGCAAAUAAAACUUGUGGAGACUGGGACUGUUUCUUCAGUGCCCCUGCUUCCUCCAUCCUCACAGCAGCUCAGGGUCACCACAGAGCUAUGAACAGACACCUCAGCCACUUACCGACUGACUGGUCUUGCAUUUGACACACCCAUUUAAUGUGAUGAUUUAAUGUAAUUUUGUAUCUCUCUUCUCAGGAGAGCAAAGUCCCUCAUGCUGCGUUCAACUUCCUGGCUGGAAGACCAGGAUAAAGUUGCUUUUCAUCCCUCUGCUAGCAAGAGCAAGGCAGCACCCAUGUCAGGAGUGUGAGGGACCCAAGAAUGUUCUGGAGCUCCCCUAGAACAAGUGAUGUGCUUCAGCCACCUCAGACCAACUGGUGGUGACUUUCUUCCAUCAAGGCCUCCAGAUUACCCAAAGCAACUCUAAGCAUCAGGAGAACAAAUCUCCAGAGCCAACUUGGGGUGCUUUGGGGUCAUCUCCAUUUGAGGACUGGAGUCAGGGGCCUUCCUCAGCUGGUCUAGAUGCUGCAAAGAAACAGCCAUGUCCCAUAAUAAAG
rnacentral:lncRNA from 1 species